UACGUAGGGUGCAAGCGUUGUCCGGAAUUAUUGGGCGUAAAGAGCUCGUAGGCGGUUUGUCGCGUCUGCUGUGAAAACCCGAGGCUCAACCUCGGGCCUGCAGUGGGUACGGGCAGACUAGAGUGCGGUAGGGGAGAUUGGAAUUCCUGGUGUAGCGGUGGAAUGCGCAGAUAUCAGGAGGAACACCAAUGGCGAAGGCAGAUCUCUGGGCCGUAACUGACGCUGAGGAGCAAAAGCAUGGGGAGCGAACAGG
rnacentral:rRNA from 1 species